rnacentral:rRNA from 1 species
CCUACGGGGAGCAGCAGUGGGGAAUAUUGCGCAAUGGGCGAAAGCCUGACGCAGCGACGCCGCGUGAGGGAUGAAGGUCUUCGGAUCGUAAACCUCUGUCAGCAGGGAAGAACGGUCACUGUGCUAAUCAGCAGUGAAUUGACGGUACCUGCAAAGGAAGCACCGGCUAACUCCGUGCCAGCAGCCGCGGUAAUACGGGGGGUGCGAGCGUUAAUCGGAAUUACUGGGCGUAAAGCGCUCGUAGGCGGUAUGUCAAGUCAAGGGUGAAAUCCCCGCGCUCAACGUGGGAACUGCCUUUGAAACUGGCAAACUGGAGUGUGUGAGAGGAUAGUGGAAUUCCAGGUGUAGGGGUGAAAGCCGUAGAUAUCUGGAGGAACAUCAGUGGCGAAGGCGACUAUCUGGCACAUAACUGACGCUGAGGAGCGAAAGCGUGGGUAGCAAACAGGAUUAGAUACCCUAGUAGUC